GAACGCACAUUGCGCCCUCUGGUAUUCCAGGGGGCAUGCCUGUUUGAGCGUCAUUUCCUUCUCAAACAGCAAUGUUUGGUUGUGAGUGAUACUCUUUCGGAGUUAGCUUGAAAUUGCUGGCCGAUGGCUGUUGUGGUUGAGUGUCUCCCUUCGGGGAGAGCGCUUGCUGCGUUAAGGGACAUCCUGCUGGACAUCUUCGUAUUAGGUUCUACCAACUUCGAAGACGGUUAGCGGGGAGUUCUGCAGUGAGUGUAGUGCUUUUACUACGUUGCACCAUGGCGAACAGUGUUCUUUUAAGUUUGACCUCAAAUCAGGUAGGAUUACCCGCUGAACUUAA
rnacentral:misc_RNA from 1 species